rnacentral:rRNA from 1 species
GACGAACGCUGGCGGCGUGCUUAACACAUGCAAGUCGAACGGAAAGGCCCUGCUCUUGUGGGGUGCUCGAGUGGCGAACGGGUGAGUAACACGUGAGUAACCUGCCCUUGACUUUGGGAUAACUUCAGGAAACUGGGGCUAAUACCGGAUAGGAGCUCCUGCUGCAUGGUGGGGGUUGGAAAGUUUCGGCGGUUGGGGAUGGACUCGCGGCUUAUCAGCUUGUUGGUGGGGUAGUGGCUUACCAAGGCUUUGACGGGUAGCCGGCCUGAGAGGGGGACCGGCCACAAUGGGACUGAGAUACGGCCCAGACUCCUACGGGAGGCAGAAGUGGGGAAUAUUGCGCAAUGGGCGGAAGCCUGAUGCGGCAACGCCGCGUGCGGGAUGACGGCCUUCGGGUUGUAAACCGCUUUCGCCUGUGACGAGGCGUGAGUGACGGUAAUUGGUAAAGAAGCACCGGCUAACUACGUG